rnacentral:rRNA from 1 species
UACGUAGGGGGCAAGCGUUGCCCGGAAUUAUUGGGCGUAAAGAGCGUGUAGGCGGUCCGGUAAGUCGGCUGUGAAAGUCCAGGGCUCAACCCUGGGAUGCCGGUCGAUACUGCCGGACUAGAGUUCGGAAGAGGCGAGUGGAAUUCCCGGUGUAGCGGUGAAAUGCGCAGAUAUCGGGAGGAACACCUAUGGCGAAGGCAGCUCGCUGGGACGUUACUGACGCUGAGACGCGAAAGCGUGGGGGAGCAAACAGG